GAUGAACGCUGACAGAAUGCUUAACACAUGCAAGUCAUUGGCGAAGCUGCGCUUGCGCAGUCUAGCCAAGGCGGACGGGUGAGUAACGCGUAAGGAACUUGCCCUGCAGACAGGGAUAACAGACGGAAACGACUGAUAACACCUGGUAUUGUCAGGCUGGCGCAUGCCGGCCUGAUGAAAGGAGACGCUGCAGGAGAGCCUUGCGUCCUAUUAGCUAGUUGGUGGGGUAACGGCCCACCAAGGCGAUGAUAGGUAGCCGGCCUGAGAGGGUGAACGGCCACAAGGGGACUGAGAUACGGCCCUUACUCCUACGGGAGGCAGCAGUGGGGAAUAUUGGACAAUGGGGGCAACCCUGAUCCAGAAAUUCUGUGUGCACGAAGAAGGUUUUCGGAUUGUAAAGUGCUUUCAGCAGGGAAGAAGAAAGUGACGGUACCUGCAGAAGAAGCGACGGCUAAAUACGUG
rnacentral:rRNA from 1 species